rnacentral:rRNA from 1 species
UAGUCUAGAACUAGACGAAGUAGAGAGUUUGCUGCGGGGUCGGGGUUCUCCUCGGCGGCGGCGGCCCCUUACUCUCCUCGGCAGCGGCGGUCCAGUGGCGACGGGAGCGUGAGCGUAGGUAUGGAAGCGGCGGAGGGAGCGCGAACGCCUAGGGACCUUACGGCGGCUAGGCUCUGCUCGGCGGCGGCGGCUCCUUGCUCUGCUCGGUGGCGGAAGUAACGCCUGGAUCCGAUCCCAAGGUAUGCGGCGGCGGCCACAGAGCGGGGGAGUGGUGAGGAAGCGCCCGCGGUGGGUUGGUGGUGGCGGGAGAGGUACGUGGGCGUGUGUGAGUGGGUUGAGAGAGAGGCGGCGGCGGUAGAUCUAGAGCCGACCAACUAAGGCUGCCGCGCGUAGUGUGAGGAGGACACGAGCGGAGCGCGGCGACGCAGGUGGGUAGGCCGACCUAAGCGGCGAGGGGCCACCGUUCCCGAAGUCAGCGGAGGUUGAGGCCGCUGAGGCCGCCAAGUAGAGGCUGCGGAUGGGUCGGGGGCGCACGUCGAGACAGAGGACCUACUUAAACAGGACGAGCUCCUGCUGGUCAAGAAGGAGUUGGAGGUUCCUGCGGGCGGUAGCAGCUCGGAGGGAGGCACCCUACGGUACCUCUACUUUGAGGGGAGCUGGUCCCUUAAGUUCCCGUACACCCUCUCUCUCCUCCAGGUACCUCUUCUACGAGACGAGGUUGGGAGGGACGGAGGAUGAUGUUCUACAGAAAAAACACACACGAACAUAACGUCGUCGGUAGUCGUCGUCGUCCGGCUCACUGCCACCACCGACACACGUCCGGUACCUCCGCUACUACUCGUGCUCCCCUUCCGACGACGAAGUUGGGGCAAUUCCAAGGCAUUCUUCGUGUUAUUUCAGCCAUACUUCCGAUACUCUCCUACCCGUUAUGUCUAUAACUCUCCCGACCUUAUAGAAGUCUCAGUCCUUGGUAGGUAAUAAGUAUCCCUAAAUUCCACACUGUUGUAUAAGUAUUUGCCAGUACUACCUGUUCACUUCUAACCGCUGAAACCAGACCGCUGUAAAAACGUAGUUGCCUUUUGCUCUUCAUAGUUUCCGUGUAAUCUCAAAUACCGUGGUCUUGAGAAGUGACCCUUAAUGUUGCUCAACCACCUAUAUAUAAGUAAACCCUACACGUACGAACUUUACCACUGUACACUUAUUGGUAUAUCACUUACGCUUCCGUUCGGUACCUAUAUGUUCUUUUAAACACUUCCAUAUUUUGGUCGACACGAAAGUCUCCAAAGUAUCUUUAGACAAACCGAGGCCGUCGACUUUCUGAAACACGUUCACUCGAGAACUUCUUGACAAAGGAGGUCUUUCUGUUCGGAUAGGGUCGCGGAGGAUAAAGUCAGAGGGACUAGAGCUCACACUGAUUUCUACCCGCCGUCAGACGGUCAAAGUACGAUACCUUCCCACUUAAGAGUGAUUUUCCUCUGUACGUACAGUGGCUGGUACAAUUAAAUAGCGAUUCUAAAGGACUAGGGUCACCAACAAAAUUCUUACAGCUCAAGGGUAAGCUACACCUGGUUCUAUGGUCGGAAAGACACCGAGACCUUUACCAGCUGUGAAAACCUGCCACCGCCGCCGCCACUGUCUCCGAUACCGAGCUAUCGCUCUGCUCAGACAACUCUUAUCGGUCGCUGCCCAAGAAAAGAAAGCGAACGAGACAAAAUUUUUUUUCUUCUUCUGUUCCCAAGGAAAAAAAUAUGUCUCUUAAAUGGUAUCAUAACCUUUAUGAAACCAAAACUAUUAUGUCAAAAAUCACGAUUGGUUUGUCCAGUGACAUUUAUUUUGGUACCAUUCAUUUUUUUGACGUCAUAAGAUUCUUAUGAAUUUUUUAUGAAACGAUAGUUUGUCCCGGAGUUUCAUUAAUUUUGGUACCAUUAGGAUUUUUGACAUCAUAAAGGUCUUAUGAAUCUUUUAUAUCUCGAUAGUUUGUCCCGGACUUAGUAGUUAACCUCCACCAUCAUACUCUAAAUUUUUUAGACUGCCACAUCCUCUAUAGAUUGAUGUACCGUUACAAGCUACCUACAAGACGCUUAACGAGCGUUCGGUACUUUUUAAUGUCAAAUUGUGUCGUAUAUAUAACAGAAUGUGUGAGUACUAGACCACUAUCAAAAUUAACGGAACUAGAAACAAAACAUCAUGUCUGUUCUUAUCGAAGUUACUGUCGUAGAGCUUAGUAGUUCAACACACUGAAGGGAGAACUCACCCACAACAUAAAAUCGUCCGGAUAUAAACUUUAUAAACUCUCGGUGAAAACAACAAAGAUAUACCCACGUGUGGUUUAAUAUGGAAGGCUCUUCUAAUUACACGAGUACUAAAUGGAAGACUUUUUCCCUUGAACACUAGGUAAACGCGCGUUACUCGACCUCUACCCCCGUGUUUUCCUGUGAUUCGGUGGGGUCUAACAAUGCCGUGUCACCACGGUGACGCACCCGUAGUUGUGCUCCUCAACUACGUUGAAGUUGUGUCCCGCCGUCGCCGUACUACUGAAGUUGUGCUCAGGACCACUCUUCUUGCGCCCUCGAUCCUAUAUCUCGGUCUACAACACAUACACAUUCUUAAAGUAGAUGCGAAUAUAAUAAAACGUCCCAGGAUUACGUAAGUGAUGAGAUUAAAGAGGACCUACGUAGCCUUGUGUGACGAUGGUUCACAUUAUGAGAACUUUGCUUGUGUAUAUCAAUCAUAAGAUCCUUUAUUUCCUUUGAUACCUUAUUACUCCUGGGACUAGAAGAUACAUUUGAUCUAUAACUAGGAUGUACCUUAAAGAUACAUUUUUAAUGACUGUAUCACCUCUUCGCGUGGUGAACUACAGGACUCGGAAGCGUGUCGGUCGUUCACGAAACCGACCCGAACACAACCUACCAUCUUUCAAAACUGAGUCCAACAACAAACAAGUAAACCGUACUGAUGAACAUCCGCCAUAAAAUAACAAUCAAAGUUGUAAUACAGUUGAGACAACAAAACCAGACACGAAUAAUAUCAUAAGACCGAUCUAUCACAAGUGUAACAUCAUGGAUUAUGAAGUGUACAUGAGGGAGGCAG